CAAAUGUGGGCGGACUUAUAAGCACGUGACCCAAGUCUUGUAGUGCAGUCUUGUAUCAGCUGUCAUAGCGGCCCCAGCUGUGCGGCCACUAGUAACUAAGAUCGGCCCGCGACAUUUGUCUGGUGGCUUCGUGUUUUUACUACGUGCCAGAAUUUCAUUUACAAUUAACGAAACUGAGGCCAGGAGAGGAGGAGACUUGCCCAGAGUCGCUCAAGGUGUAGGGUAUGAUGUAAAUUCACUUCUAAGGGAGUGGAGCUGUCGUCUGUCACCGACCCUUUCUUAAUGGGGUCUUGGACAAAGGGCAGGGCUUCUCUGAACCUGUUUGCUCCUCGCUACUGUCUGUUGGAAUUUUCUGCACGCUUCCUUCAGCGAGUGCGGUGCUUCCUUCUCCCGGCGGCGGAGGGCGGCCAGCUCUGGACUCCGAGGACACCGAGUCCCCUGAUAGAUGAUGCGCUGCCCGGACUGGCCCACCCUCCCCUGGCUGACCGCCGCCCAGGCUCGCUAGGUCCCUGCGUAGGAGGCAGCAGGCCCAGAGAGGAAGAAGUGGUGCCCAGUGACCGAGCCCCAGAGGAGGGGCCAGAGUACAGGUGACUUGGAGGUGCUGGCCACUCUGCCCAGGCACAGUACUGGCA